UGGGCGGGGCUCGCCCGUGACCUUUGACCCCGCAGGUACUGCAUCGACAACGGCGCCAUGAUCGCCCAGGCCGGCUGCGAGAUGCUGAGGGUGGGGCAGGUGACCGAGCUCAGCCAAUCGGGGAUCACGCAGAGGUACCGGACGGAUGAGGUGGAGGUGACCUGGAGGGAUUGAGGUGGCCACGCCCAUGGAGGCCACGCCCACUCAAUAAAAGAGUCCCCACCCCCUCA